rnacentral:rRNA from 1 species
UUAAGCGACUAAGCGUACACGGUGGAUGCCCUGGCAGUCAGAGGCGAUGAAGGACGUGCUAAUCUGCGAUAAGCGUCGGUAAGGUGAUAUGAACCGUUAUAACCGGCGAUUUCCGAAUGGGGAAACCCAGUGUGUUUCGACACACUAUCAUUAACUGAAUCCAUAGGUUAAUGAGGCGAACCGGGGGAACUGAAACAUCUAAGUACCCCGAGGAAAAGAAAUCAACCGAGAUUCCCCCAGUAGCGGCGAGCGAACGGGGAGCAGCCCAGAGCCUGAAUCAGUGUGUGUGUUAGUGGAAGCGUCUGGAAAGGCGCGCGAUACAGGGUGACAGCCCCGUACACAAAAAUGCACAUGCUGUGAGCUCGAUGAGUAGGGCGGGACACGUGGUAUCCUGUCUGAAUAUGGGGGGACCAUCCUCCAAGGCUAAAUACUCCUGACUGACCGAUAGUGAACCAGUACCGUGAGGGAAAGGCGAAAAGAACCCCGGCGAGGGGAGUGAAAAAGAACCUGAAACCGUGUACGUACAAGCAGUGGGAGCACGCUUAGGCGUGUGACUGCGUACCUUUUGUAUAAUGGGUCAGCGACUUAUAUUCUGUAGCAAGGUUAACCGAAUAGGGGAGCCGAAGGGAAACCGAGUCUUAACUGGGCGUUAAGUUGCAGGGUAUAGACCCGAAACCCGGUGAUCUAGCCAUGGGCAGGUUGAAGGUUGGGUAACACUAACUGGAGGACCGAACCGACUAAUGUUGAAAAAUUAGCGGAUGACUUGUGGCUGGGGGUGAAAGGCCAAUCAAACCGGGAGAUAGCUGGUUCUCCCCGAAAGCUAUUUAGGUAGCGCCUCGUGAAUUCAUCUCCGGGGGUAGAGCACUGUUUCGGCAAGGGGGUCAUCCCGACUUACCAACCCGAUGCAAACUGCGAAUACCGGAGAAUGUUAUCACGGGAGACACACGGCGGGUGCUAACGUCCGUCGUGAAGAGGGAAACAACCCAGACCGCCAGCUAAGGUCCCAAAGUCAUGGUUAAGUGGGAAACGAUGUGGGAAGGCCCAGACAGCCAGGAUGUUGGCUUAGAAGCAGCCAUCAUUUAAAGAAAGCGUAAUAGCUCACUGGUCGAGUCGGCCUGCGCGGAAGAUGUAACGGGGCUAAACCAUGCACCGAAGCUGCGGCAGCGACGCUGAUGCGUUGUUGGGUAGGGGAGCGUUCUGUAAGCCUGCGAAGGUGUGCUGUGAGGCAUGCUGGAGGUAUCAGAAGUGCGAAUGCUGACAUAAGUAACGAUAAAGCGGGUGAAAAGCCCGCUCGCCGGAAGACCAAGGGUUCCUGUCCAACGUUAAUCGGGGCAGGGUGAGUCGACCCCUAAGGCGAGGCCGAAAGGCGUAGUCGAUGGGAAACAGGUUAAUAUUCCUGUACUUGGUGUUACUGCGAAGGGGGGACGGAGAAGGCUAUGUUGGCCGGGCGACGGUUGUCCCGGUUUAAGCGUGUAGGCUGGUUUUCCAGGCAAAUCCGGAAAAUCAAGGCUGAGGCGUGAUGACGAGGCACUACGGUGCUGAAGCAACAAAUGCCCUGCUUCCAGGAAAAGCCUCUAAGCAUCAGGUAACAUCAAAUCGUACCCCAAACCGACACAGGUGGUCAGGUAGAGAAUACCAAGGCGCUUGAGAGAACUCGGGUGAAGGAACUAGGCAAAAUGGUGCCGUAACUUCGGGAGAAGGCACGCUGAUAUGUAGGUGAAGUCCCUCGCGGAUGGAGCUGAAAUCAGUCGAAGAUACCAGCUGGCUGCAACUGUUUAUUAAAAACACAGCACUGUGCAAACACGAAAGUGGACGUAUACGGUGUGACGCCUGCCCGGUGCCGGAAGGUUAAUUGAUGGGGUCAGCGCAAGCGAAGCUCUUGAUCGAAGCCCCGGUAAACGGCGGCCGUAACUAUAACGGUCCUAAGGUAGCGAAAUUCCUUGUCGGGUAAGUUCCGACCUGCACGAAUGGCGUAAUGAUGGCCAGGCUGUCUCCACCCGAGACUCAGUGAAAUUGAACUCGCUGUGAAGAUGCAGUGUACCCGCGGCAAGACGGAAAGACCCCGUGAACCUUUACUAUAGCUUGACACUGAACAUUGAGCCUUGAUGUGUAGGAUAGGUGGGAGGCUUUGAAGUGUGGACGCCAGUCUGCAUGGAGCCGACCUUGAAAUACCACCCUUUAAUGUUUGAUGUUCUAACGUUGACCCGUAAUCCGGGUUGCGGACAGUGUCUGGUGGGUAGUUUGACUGGGGCGGUCUCCUCCUAAAGAGUAACGGAGGAGCACGAAGGUUGGCUAAUCCUGGUCGGACAUCAGGAGGUUAGUGCAAUGGCAUAAGCCAGCUUGACUGCGAGCGUGACGGCGCGAGCAGGUGCGAAAGCAGGUCAUAGUGAUCCGGUGGUUCUGAAUGGAAGGGCCAUCGCUCAACGGAUAAAAGGUACUCCGGGGAUAACAGGCUGAUACCGCCCAAGAG